rnacentral:rRNA from 1 species
UUGGAGGGCAAGUCUGGUGCCAGCAGCCGCGGUAAUUCCAGCUCCAAUAGCGUAUAUUAAAGUUGUUGCAGUUAAAAAGCUCGUAGUUGAAUUUCGGGGUUAGUAGGCUGGUCAUGCCUCUGGUAUGUACUGGUCUCACUGAUUCCUCCUUCCUGAUGAACCGUAAUGCCAUUAAUUUGGUGUUGCGGGGAAUUUGGACUGUUACUUUGAAAAAAUUAGAGUGUUUAAAGCAAGCUAACGCUUGAAUACAUUAGCAUGGAAUAAUGAAAUAGGACGUUCGAUCCUAUUUUGUUGGUUUCUAGGAUUGACGUAAUGAUUAAUAGGGAUAGUUGGGGGCAUUAGUAUUCAAUUGUCAGAGGUGAAAUUCUUGGAUUUAUUGAAGACUAACUACUGCGAAAGCAUUUGCCAAGGAUGUUUUCAUUAAUCAAGAACGAAAGUUAGGGGAUCGAAGACGAUCAGAUACCGUCGUAGUCUUAACCAUAAACUAUGCCGACUAGGGAUCGGAUGAUGUUAAUUUUUUAAUGACUCAUUCGCGCCUUACGGGAAACAAU